UUGACCACCUGGUGGGAAGGCAGGGCCAACCCAGCGGAGCUCAGGUGCAUGCAAUCUAUCUGAGUGACCAGAAUGGGUAGAGCCAGGAGCCACCCCUUCCCAGACUUCACUUAAUGGUUGCCAGUGGAAGCAAGGGUAUCUUGCUCUGGAGAUUCCUGCAUGCUUGAAGCCUUCUGUAGUGGAAAAAGUGAUUCACUCACAGAGGUCGAUGGUGCAGACUCUCAAACUGGUUGUAGAAAGCACUGAUGUUAAUGCAGAGGGAACAAGCUGCCUAAUGGAAACUACUGGUUUGCAAGUUCUAACUUAUACUGCUUUGUGCCUUUAAGAGAAAGCUAGAGGGAGACUUUGUUACUUUCUACAGCUAUCUGAUGGGAGAUUUGGAGAAUACGAAGGCAGGCUUUUAUUGGAGGUGGCAAACUGAAGGUUGAAUGUUGUUUACAGAGAUUCCUCUUGAAACGGGAGCAGUUUGGUUGAGUAAUGCUUCAGUUACAAGUUGCAUUUUGAGAGCUGAAUGGGAACCACAUGAAGAAGGCAGAUAUAAACGUUCACAAUACAAAUCUGCAAUGCUGUUUUUGCUGACACUUUCUCCCCCUUCCCCAGGCAAAACAAAAGAACAAUACUAUAGACAACGUUUGCUCAAACUACAGCUGUGACAGGAAGGGAAAGAGAAUGAAAUUUAUUCAUGAGCAGGAGACUGAAGAAUUGUGUAUGCUUAUUCUACUCUCAGUGAAAAUGAAGUGCAAAUGAGAGG